AGAGUUUGAUCAUGGCUCAGGAUGAACGCUGGCGGUAUGCUUAACACAUGCAAGUCGAACGAGAGUUUUUAACUCUAGUGGCGAACGGGUGCGUAAUACGUGAGAAUCUGCCCUUAGGAGAAGAAUAACUACUGGAAACGGUAGCUAAGUCUUCAUAUGCCGAGAGGUGAAAUAGUUUCAACUGCCUAAGGAUGAGCUCACGCCUGAUUAGCUUGUUGGUGAGGUAACGGCUUACCAAGGCCACGAUCAGUAGCUGGUUUGAGAGAACGAUCAGCCACACUGGGACUGAGACACGGCCCAGACUCCUCCGGGAGGCAGCAGUGAGGAAUUUUCCGCAAUGGGCGAAAGCCUGACGGAGCAAUACCGCGUGAGGGAUGAAGGAUUUUGGUCUGUAAACCUCUUUUCUCAAGAAAGAAGUUCUGACGGUACUUGAGGAAUAAGCAUCGGCUAACUCCGUGCCAGCAGCCGCGGUAAUACGGGGGAUGCAAGCGUUAUCCGGAAUCAUUGGGCGUAAAGCGCCUGUAGGUUGUUUAGUAAGUCUGUUGUUAAAGACCAGGGCUUAACCCUGGGAAAGCAAUGGAAACUACUAGACUUGAGUAUGGCAGGGGUAGAGGGAAUUUCUAGUGUAGCGGUGAAAUGCGUAGAUAUUAGAAAGAACACCGGCGGCGAAAGCGCUCUACUGGACCAUUACUGACACUCAGAGGCGAAAGCUAGGGGAGCAAAAGGGAUUAGAUACCCCUGUAGUCCUAGCCGUAAACGAUGGAUACUAGAUGUUGCGCAAUUUGUGCAGUAUCUUAGCUAACGCGUUAAGUAUCCCGCCUGGGGAGUACGCUCGCAAGGGUGAAACUCAAAGGAAUUGACGGGGGCCCGCACAAGCGGUGGAGCAUGUGGUUUAAUUCGAUGCAACGCGAAGAACCUUACCAGGGCUUGACAUACUACAAAUCUUUUCGAAACGA
rnacentral:rRNA from 1 species